GUCUAUGGCCAUACCACCCUGAACGUGCCUGAUCUUGUCUGAUCUUGGAAGCUAAUCAGGGUCGGGCCUGGUUACUACUCGGAUGGGAGACCAAAUACCCAAUCAAAGUAAUAAAAAAA
rfam:Chlorocebus sabaeus isolate 1994-021 chromosome 21, whole genome shotgun sequence.